rnacentral:rRNA from 1 species
UACGAAGGUCCCAAGCGUUAUCCGGAUUUAUUGGGUUUAAAGGGCGCGUAGGCGGGUGACCAAGUCAGGGGUGAAAUCUUUCGGCCCAACCGGAAAAGUGCCUCUGAUACUGGUCGUCUUGAGGGAGGUAGGGGUCGAGGGAACUGGUGGUGGAGCGGUGAAAUGCGUAGAUAUCACUAGGAACGCCGGUGGCGAAAGCGCUCGACUGGACCUCUUCUGACGCUGAGGCGCGAAAGCGUGGGUAGCAAACAGG